rnacentral:rRNA from 1 species
UCUGACCUCAAAUCAGGUAGGAUUACCCGCUGAACUUAAGCAUAUCAAUAAGCGGAGGAAAAGAAACUAACAAGGAUUCCCUUAGUAACUGCGAGUGAAGUGGGAAAAGCUCAAAUUUAUAAUCUGGCAGUCUGAAUUUACUUCUUUGGCUGUCCGAGUUGUAAUCUAGAGAAGUGCUACCUGUAYUGGACCAUGUACAAGUCUCCUGGGAUGGAGCAUCACAGAGGGUGAGAAUCCCGUCUAUGACAUGGACUACCAGUGUGUUGUGGAGUACUUUCAAAGAGUCGAGUUGUUUGGGAAUGCAGCUCUAAAUGGGUGG